UGUGAUGGGGAGCGAAAUUUAGUAGCGAAGUAGCUGAUUUCACACUGUCAAGAAAAGUCUCUAUCGAGGGUAAAGGUACCCGUACCGCAAACCGACACAGGUGGGUGAGGAGAGUAUCCUAAGGCCAGCGAGAGAACUGUUGUUAAGGAACUCGGCAAAAUGACCCCGUAACUUAGGGAUAAGGGGUGCCACCAUCAGGUGGCCGCAGAGAAUAGGCCCAAGCGACUGUUUACCAAAAACAUAGGUUUCUGCUAAGUCGCAAGACGAUGUAUAGGAGC
rnacentral:rRNA from 1 species